AGGGGCAUCAUCCAAUGGUAGGAUACCGGUCUCCAAAACCGUCAAUCUGGGUUCGAGUCCUAGUACCCCUG
rnacentral:tRNA from 1 species